rnacentral:rRNA from 1 species
AACGGCCAUGCCAUGCGGAAUAUACCGGUUCUCGUUAGAUCACCGAAGUCAAGCAUCAUUGGGCGUGGUCAGUGCUUGGGUGGGUGACCACCUGGGAACACCGCGUGCC